rnacentral:misc_RNA from 1 species
UAUGUAUUUUUUAAUAAACAAUGACAAAAAUCAAUAAAAAGUUAAUUUUUAAAAAAAUAUAUAGCAAUGGUAAAAAUUUAAAAAAAAAAUUUUUUUUAAUCAGUUUGUGGAAGGAAAGAAGUUCCUCUUUACGAAAAAAAAUGUCUGAUCAACGUAGAAUAAAAGCAGAUAUCCAAUUUCAGCGUAUAAAAAUUUGUAUCUUUUUAGGAUGAUGAAUACUGUUGUAAAAUAGGGAAACAUCAAUAAAUUUACAAUUAUUUUUUCUGCUUAAAGUUUUAACAAAUUAUUAUUUAAUACAUAGUAAAAAUACAAAAUUUUGUUAUAAAAAUAGAAAAAGAACAGUUUAAAAACACUCGCGACAGCAAUUUAAACGAUGAUAAUCGCAAACGGGUUUGUUGCAUCGAGCACAACAUUGAUUGGUCUUUUUAUCAUUUUUGUAUAAACAAUAAAAACAUCUUUUUCUUUUUUUUAAUUUAUUAGUUAAUGUCCAAUCUUCCCAAUAUUUGCCGAAAACUGAAUUUUAUUGAUCUGCUCAAAAUAUUCUGGAUUUCUAAUUUCCAUUGUAGAUGUUCAACUUAAAAUAUAUACAUAAUUAUGUUCUAAAAUGCAUGUACGUGUCCCAAAAUACUUAAUUUACAAAAAAAAUUUUUUUCAAAAAAGUCAUUUUUACUUACGUAAUCCCUCCUUAUGGGUCGAAAACGUCUUAUUUGAAUUUUAUUAUCUGGCUGGCGUUUGGAGUAGAACAAACGAACCGGGCUAGCUGUUUGCACUGAAGACCCUUUCCUCCCAAAGUUUUUUUUAGUAUAACUUUAAUGGCGCUAGCAUCGUGGUUGUACGAGAAAUUAACAAUAGUAGUUUUAAGCAGGACGAAAACGACCUAUAGGGAAGAAUUGAGGGUUAAAUAUGUACAAAAUAUAAUGCUGAAUAGUAUAUUGGCUGUUUAAACUUUUGAUCUAAAUUAUUAUCUUUUUACAAAUAAUAUGUUUAAAAUUCGCGGUGUUUGGCUGUUACAUAUGGCGAAUGGAGGCAACCAAUCAAAUAAAUCCAAUCGUUCUGUGUUUCGCGUGCCAAAGGAUGUCGAACAAUUAAAACAAUGGGUAGCAGCUAUUCCCGGGAUCGUCAAAUUGAAGCACGUUAUAUGUGACAAGCAUUUUGAAGGCCAGUAUAUUAUUCGUGAAUGGAUUAAACGAGACGAGAGUAGUCGCAUUAUUGCACAGGCCCCAUAUAAGUAUCCACAGCUUAGUAAGCUUGCUGUACCAAUCAAACUGUUAAACGAUAAAGCCGUUGAUUUGUUGACUGAAUCGUCUUUACACGUGGUGAGCCCUGUUUUCAACUCUGUAUAUCAUGAUGGGACUACGUCCGUUAGAUCUCCUGUUUCGAUAGAAGUCAGUAAUCAUCAAACAGAAAACGAUUCAGCUGAUGCCUCAAAUAAAAGUCUAAAUACAUCAAGGCAAGUUGACAUCUCCAGCACAUCUAUUACGGAUACUCCUCACGUACAAGGUAUGUAUUGCAUGGCUAAAGCAAGAAAUAUAAUGAGAUAGCCAUUCAAUUAUACAUUUUAUUUUUUAUUUUUGUAUACAGACGUCUCAUGCAUUUAAUUGCCAAUUUCGAAAGAUGGAAAAUCGCUCACAGUAAUGGAAGAAGCUGAUAUUGAUUCGACAACAAUAGAGUAGUCUACGUCAGAUCUUCACACUUCUGCAUCUCUACCCAAACUUCAAGCACAGGACAAACUUUUUGACAUUCAAUCGAUGUUCAGCGAACAAUUAAAAAUCCUUCUCCAGAAUUUAUACAGUUUUGUGAUUGAUUCCUGCGGUCGACUCGUGAAAAAAUUUGCUGCAUAUAAAAGUUUUAGACUUUGUACGUACAAAACAAGCGUGCCUCGCCCAUUACAAGAAAGAACAAUUCUGUGCUUUUAGAAAUGAGCCUAGACGCAAGUAUAAUGAUUUCUUUUAGUGAAAAUCUCGUAUGUAUGUGUGAGUUUGAGAGGCAAUCUAGCAUCCCCUUAAAUUGUCCACUAAUAAAUCAUAAGUACUAAAAGCAUCUGUAUUUAUAUUUACAAAUAAAAUGAAAAAAAAAGAUGAUUGGGAGGCAGACGACGUUAUUGACUAUAACCUUCUUGAUCAUGAUUACAUCCUAUCCUCGAUCCUCGACUGUAUAAUUUAUUAUAUGACAGGUUUUUUGUUUUAACUAAUUUCUUUCGUUUAAAAUGCUUUUUACUAAUCAAAAUUAAGGUUUUUAUACAUGCUGUUACGUCCGGCGCAGAAAAUUUCUUUUCUUUCUGGCCGCCCGUGAAAUUCCCCUCCCCCGUCGCGCCAUUCGGGCAGCGUGCAAGAAAAAAAUGAAAAACAAGAAGACUCCACAUCCACCUGACAAUCGUG